GUUUCUGUAGCGCAAUCGGUUAGGGCGUUUGACUGUUAAGCAAAAGGUAGGUGGUUCGAGCCCGCCCAGGGACG